rnacentral:lncRNA from 1 species
CUCGAGGCAGCUCAUCCGGCGGAGUAUCUCUCGUCUUUUAUCCAGGUUCUCUCGCGGUGUUGCCAGAUUUUUCCCCCAUGGAAGUCCAUGUUGUCGGGGAUAUUGCAAACUGCCUACCUAGUACAAGUACUCGACGCGAUAUCAAUGAUGAGAAUGACAAGUGACAUAAAGACCUUCUGGUAUCUCAGUCGCAUAUCGACAAAAAUGGCAAUCUGGCGAAAGCUACAUUUCGAUCGGAGGAAGAGCUACGGGGUGGUUAUUAAAAAAUAA